rnacentral:lncRNA from 13 species
AGUAAUGACAGUCUCACCCUACCUUCAACCCAGAGGAGAUACAGUAAUGACAGUCUCACACUACCUUCAACCCAGAGAGGAGAAACAGUAAUGACAGUCUCACCCUACCUUCAACCCAGAGGAGAAACAGUAAUGACAGUCUCACCCUACCUUCAACCCAGAGGAGAAACAGUAAUGACAGUCUCACCCUACUUUCAACCCAGAGGAGAAACAGUAAUGACAGUCUCACACUACCUUCAACCCAGAGAGGACAAACAGUAAUGACAUCAUCUAAGAGACAUUUAUUAGCAGGUAGAUGUAGCCUGGCAUGCAGGUAAAUACUCUUCAUCCUUAGGAGGAGGAUGAUGAAGAUAGUGCCUAAGUUGAAGCGUGAAGCAGGAAAGGGUCUCUGGAACUGCUUGGUGGUACAGAGAAGUGUUGCUAGUCGAGUACGUGUGUGUGUGUGUGUGUGUUGCGUGUGAGGGAUAUGUGAUCCAAUGUAUGUACGGCGUGUGUGUGUUUGUCUGUUAGGUGUGUUCUCUCUAUCUCUCUCGCUCUCUCUCUCAACACUGCUCUACUAUAUAUCAUGAGCAUACCAAACAUUAGGAACCUGAGGUGCACCCCCCCCCCCCUCAGAACAGCCUCAAUUCGUCAGGUCAUGAACUUCAAAGUUGACUCCAUUCUCACAGUUGUGUCAAGUUGGCUGGAUGUUCAUUGGGUGUCGGACUCUGCUUGAUACAUACGGGACACUGUUGAGUGUGAAAAACCCAGCAGGGUUGCAGUUCUUGACUCAAACUGGUGCGCCUGUCACCUACUAACAUACCCUGUUAAAAAGGCACUUAAAUCUUUUGUCUUGCCGAUUCACCCACUGAAUGACACACAUACACAAUCCAUGUCUCAAAUUCUCUCAAGUCUUACAAUUCCUACUUUAACCCGUCUCCUCCCCUUCAUCUACACUGAUUGAAGUGGAUUUAUCAGGUGACGUCAAUAAGGGAUCAUCGCUUUCACCUGGGUUCACCUUGUCAGUCUGUCAUGGAAAGCGCAGGUGUUCUUAAUGUUUUGUACACUCAGUGUAUAUAUGUAUUUUGUGGUUGUGUUAACGUGUGUGUGUGUGUGUAACUUCACGCUACGAGCGGCCCCAGGCUGAGCUCCACGUGGUGUGUGAGCCAUAUUGCCUCGGUUGGGGCAUCGUCCUCCUCGCUCGGCCUUAUGGGAGNNNNNNNNNNCUGUCCCCCUAAUAUAGUUGUCAAAACAGUCACAGUUGACAUACCUGUCACACUGUUAGCACACCAGUCACUGUCGACAGUGACUCGAGGCUGCCACCUACAGGAUGUAGCAUGCAGUUACACCAUUUAAAAAAUAAAUUAAAAAACACAGCUCCACCUUGUGGUGGCAUUGUCUACAUGCACUAAAUGACACAGUCACUGUCGACAGUGACUCGAGGCUGCCACCUACAGGAUGUAGCAUGCAGUUACACCAUUCAAAUAAAAUAAAAAGCCCACAUCUCCACCUUGUG